rnacentral:lncRNA from 1 species
CCCAUGGAAAAAUGGCACCAGGCCGGGCACGGAUCGAGUCUGCACGCCGGAGAGGCGGGGGUGGGUGGCUGGGCAGGGCCCCUGGUGGGCCUACUGCCAGCCUCACCCUGGGGUGGGAGUGGAUUCUUGGGAAACAGCUCCAAAAGCCCCAAGUUCGCCCCUGAUGUGUUAGGUGUCCCUUUCAGUGGCCUCCCUCUCCCCUGACUACGGUUGAGUGGGAGGGGGCUACUGUAGGGGAAGAGGGAGGCCAGCCCUGUGGAGAGCUCCAGUACACUAUGUCAUCUGUAUUUAACGUGUCCAGCAUUAUGAUAACCCAUUUUAGAAAUACUCAUGUAAUGGUUAUAACACCCCUGUGAGGGAGGUGGCAUCAUUUUUACAGAUAAAGGAAACUGAAGUAGAGAGACAUUAAGGGCCCCAGAGAGAUUUGAACCUAGGAUGGCUGGUUUGGGGGAUGUUCACCGCAGGUGCUGCUGACAUAAAUCAAGAUGCUCAAUUCUGGGUUCCGUCUUGGAGUGGCGCUGGAGAAGAGGGUCAGCAUCGACAGCAGGGCUGGCUGCCCACUCUGUCCUGUUUGCUCAGCUGUAAAAUGAGCAGAAGAGGUGCCUCCCGCUCCCACAAUCCUGUCUGGGGUCGGACCCUGAGUGGCAAGGUGUCAUCUCCUGUAAUACCCAGACAGCCUCCAACCUCUUUGUCAUUUUAAGGCAGACCAGGUGAGACAAACAGGCCAUCUGCAUGUGAAGGCAGAUCCCUGUGAGGCGGAUGA